AGUGAGAUGAGCAAGCCUGAGCAUAGCUGUGGAAACAUCAGCUGGGCACAGCUGGAGGAGCCUGUGGAUCACUUCUGCAGAUGAGACAGUGGGGAAGAGGAGCUGAAUGUCCCACAGGAAGGAUGGAGUGAGAAGCAGCACUGUGAGCCACUGUACUGCAGACCAGGAGCAGUUCUUACAGCCGAGUUUUCCCAGCUCCCUCUGGCCUCCAGCUUCUUUUCCUGCCUAUCUGUUCCCUCUGAAGAUGUGAGAUGCUGGAGCAGCUCCCAUCCCUCCU